rnacentral:misc_RNA from 1 species
GAUGAAGAACGUAGCGAAAUGCGAUAAGUAGUGUGAAUUGCAGAAUUCAGUGAAUCAUCGAAUCUUCGAACGCACAUUGCGCCCGUCAGUAUUCUGGCGGGCAUGCCUGUUCGAGCGUCAUUACGCCCCUCAAGUCCCCUGUGGACUUGGUGUUGGGGAUCGGCGAGGCUGGUUUUCCAGCACAGCCGUCCCUUAAAUUAAUUGGCGGUCUCGCCGUGGCCCUCCUCUGCGCAGUAGUAAAACACUCGCAACAGGAGCCCGGCGCGGUCCACUGCCGUAAAACCCCCCAACUUUUUAUAGUUGACCUCGAAUCAGGUAGGACUACCCGCUGAACUUAAGCAUAUCAAUAAGCGGAGGA